UCCCAUAUGGUCUAGUGGUUAGGAUUCGGCGCUUUCACCAUGAAGGCCCGGGUUCAAUUCCCGGUGUGGGAA
rnacentral:tRNA from 1 species